AUGAGAGCUGGCCGCUUCUCUGUUCACAUCUCUUCAUCUUGUUGUAGAUGCGGACAGCAGGAGGAUGAAUUUCACCUCUUUUUUCUCUGCGGCUUCGCGAGAGCAGCAUGGUUUUCUUCGCCUUGGUUUAUUCGAGCGGAUGUUCUUACUCAAGGGCACUCUUCUAUGCAUUCCAUUCUCAUCUUUCUUAUUAAUAUGAGUCACCCUCAUGCCUCUAUUCAGAAUGUUCUUAAUUUUUUAUGGUGCCUGUGGAAAGCUCGAAAUGAUUUUCUUUUUGAUAGGAAAAAUCAUCUUCCUCAUCAGGUUAAUAUUGCUGCUACAACUUUGGACUUUGGGCAUUUGCAUAAUCUUCACAAUCCUUCUUCUGAGCAGCCUCUGUCUACUAAUCAUCAUUCUACUGAUAUUUUACCUAAGCAGGGCAAAACGCUUAAAUCGGAUUUGUUAAUUUUUGGGACUAAAAUUUUCUCUGAUGCAGCAUUUAGAUCGUCCAAAAUCCCAGGACUCGCUCGAGAACAUGUGGGCACAGGUAUAGGUGUUUAUAUUUCCAUGCCUUUGGAUCAAGGUGAGAUUAGUAUUCAGGUUCAAGCUUCGGCCUCUUCAACGUCAACUCCCCUUCAAGCUGAGGCAGUUGCCCUUUCUUGUGCAGCUCACCUUGCCGCUCAGCUUAAUAUUACUAAUCCCACAUUUCUGACGGACUGUCUUUCUCUUGCUUCUGCUGCUGCCUCAAGAAAUAUUUCAGAUUCUCCUGCUCAUUGGAACAUUAGAAAACAGUUGGCUACUUUUCUCAAAGUUACGUCUAAUUUAGCUGCUCAAGUGUUUCAUGUUUCCAGGGAAAUCAAUGGUGUCGCUCAUAAUCUGGCUCAGCAGGUUUUCCAAUCUGUCUGA
rnacentral:rRNA from 1 species